CCCUCCAGAAGACUGUGCUUGUGGACGACAUGGAGCCCCACUUGGGGAUUUUCUGAACCCUGUGGAUUUUACAGUGAGAUGCACUUGCCGAGGAG
rnacentral:lncRNA from 1 species